CAGCCAUGGCAACUCUCUGUUUACCAUUUGCUGAGAGGCAAACAUACUUGUGCUUUGCUGAUAUGGGCAACAGAAAAAAAAGUGAAACAUCCAGCUUCCAAUUUUGACAGAAGAAUGUCUUCUUAAGGAGCUAAAAGCACCUUAUAAUGAAGCUUGACCUCAGAGAGGAGUUGAAAAAAUACACAGUAUUCUCUCCACAGAUGCAGAUUGCAGCCUCUCUACAGUUUGGUUGAUAGUUGGGCUUCAAGAGCUGCUAUAGGAAAAGUUCGCCAACUUGUGGCCACUUCCUCCCCUCACCUAAUUCCGAGGCAGACAGCUAGUACAUCACUGGCGCUUACUCAAGGUCUUUUCAGUUUGAGAGAACUAACCAGAGCUUGUUCUGUAGUGGCAUAGUCUUCAAGAACCCUAUUUCACCUUCGUGGCCUAAUGAGACAUCAUAGCAGGACGUCAGUGGAGAAGAAACAGAAAUACUUUCAAGACAGUCUUAAGGGAAGUCCAUGGAAGAAGAAACUCCAAAUUAUGAAGGAGAGUUGGGGAAAUGCAAUAAUUUCUGAGGAGGAUGUCAUGAAGGGCAGCCACAAUAUUCUCCUAAAAAUAUCCCCUGGUGCCUUUUUCUAAGCCAAAAUACUAGAUUAAAUAAAAUA